rnacentral:rRNA from 1 species
AUUGAACGCUGGCGGCAUGCCUUACACAUGCAAGUCGAACGGUAACAGGUCUUCGGAUGCUGACGAGUAGCGAACGGGUGAGUAAUACAUCGGAACGUGCCUAGUAGUGGGGGAUAACUACUCGAAAGAGUGGCUAAUACCGCAUGAGAUCUACGGAUGGAAGCAGGGGAUCGCAAGACCUUGUGCUACUAGAGCGGCCGAUGGCAGAUUAGGUAGUUGGUGGGAUAAAAGCUUACCAAGCCGACGAUCUGUAGCUGGUCUGAGAGGACGAUCAGCCACACUGGGACUGAGACACGGCCCAGACUCCUACGGGAGGCAGCAGUGGGGAAUUUUGGACAAUGGGCGAAAGCCUGAUCCAGCAAUGCCGCGUGCAGGAUGAAGGCCUUCGGGUUGUAAACUGCUUUUGUACGGAACGAAAAGCCCCGGGUUAAUACCCUGGGGUCAUGACGGUACCGUAAGAAUAAGCACCGGCUAACUACGUGCCAGCCGCCGCAGUAA